UUGCUGUAUGUACUUAAUUAAAGAAAAACUUUGAUUAUGAACUUUAUUGUGGCUUCCUUACAGUAAAGCACCAUUUUUAGGGUUUUCCACACCUUCUUAAACAUCCAAUUCAAAGUCUGACAUCAACAAAGAGAAAAACAGAAUUCUCUUCUUUUUUUUUGGAAGA